rnacentral:rRNA from 1 species
AUUGAACGCUGGCGGCAGGCCUAACACAUGCAAGUCGAACGAGAGGCGGACGUGAGGGUUAUGACUGGGCCACGGACUGAGGGAGGGCGGUCGGUAACGGAAACUGUAGCUAAUACCGCAUUACAUCAGAUGUGCCCAGAUGGGAUUGGCUAGUGGGAGGGGUAACGGCUUACCAAGGCGACGAUCCCUAGCUGGUCUGAGAGGAUGACCAGCCACACUGGAACUGAGACACGGUCCAGACUCCUACGGGAGGCAGCAGUGGGGAAUAUUGCACAAGGGGCGCAAGCCUGAUGCAGCCAUGCCGCGUGUGUGAAGAAGGUCUUCGGGUUGUAAAGUACUUUCAGCGGGGAGGCGUUACCCGCAGAAGAAGCACCGGCUAACUCCGUGCCAGCAGCCGCGGUAAUAC